rnacentral:rRNA from 1 species
UACAGAGGGGGCAAGCGUUGUUCGGAAUUACUGGGCGUAAAGGGCGCGUAGGCGGCCUGUUAAGUCGACGUGAAAUCCCCGGGCUCAACCCGGGAACUGCGUCCGAUACUGGCAGGCUUGAAUCCGGGAGAGGGAUGCGGAAUUCCUGGUGUAGCGGUGAAAUGCGCAGAUAUCAGGAGGAACACCAAUGGCGAAGGCAGCUCGCUGGGACGGUAACUGACGCUGGAGGCGCGAAAGCGUGGGGAGCAAACAG